AUACUGCUGAGCUAGGGACCGGGAGAGGCCGAGGGUAUUCCCGGGGUAGGGGUGAAAUCCUGUAAUCCCGGGAGGACCACCUGUGGCGAAGGCGCUCGGCUGGAACGGGUCCGACGGUGAGGGACGAAGGCCUGGGGAGCGAACCGGAUUAGAUACCCGGGUAGUCCAGGCUGUAAACGAUGCGGGCUAGGUGUCACCGGAGCUACGAGCUCCGGUGGUGCCAGAGGGAAGCCGUUAAGCCCGCCGCCUGGGAAGUACGGCCGCAAGGCUGAAACUUAAAGGAAUUGGCGGGGGAGCACUACAACGGGUGGAGCCUGCGGUUUAAUUGGAUUCAACGCCGGGAAGCUUACCGGGGGAGACAGCGGGAUGAAGGUCGGGCUGAAGACCUUACCAGACUAGCUGAGAGGUGGUGCAUGGCCGCCGUCAGUUCGUACUGUGAAGCAUCCUGUUAAGUCAGGCAACGAGCGAGACCCGCGCCCUCAGUUGCCAGCGGGUCCCUUCGGGGACGCCGGGCACACUGAGGGGACUGCCGGCGCUAAGCCGGAGGAAGGCGCGGGCAACGGCAGGUCCGUAUGCCCCGAAUCCCCCGGGCUACACGCGGGCUACAAUGGCCGGGACAAUGGGUACCGACCCCGAAAGGGGUGGGUAAUCUCCUAAACCCGGUCUAACCUGGGAUCGAGGGCUCAACUCGCCCUCGUGAACCUGGAAUCCGUAGUAAUCGCGUCUCAAGAU
rnacentral:rRNA from 1 species